AUUGAACGCUGGCGGCAUGCUUUACACAUGCAAGUCGAACGGCAGCGCGGGCUUCGGCCUGGCGGCGAGUGGCGAACGGGUGAGUAAUGCAUCGGAACGUGCCCAGUAGUGGGGGAUAGCCCGGCGAAAGCCGGAUUAAUACCGCAUACGACCUGAGGGUGAAAGCGGGGGACCGAAAGGCCUCGCGCUAUUGGAGCGGCCGGUGUCGGAUUAGCUAGUUGGUGGGGUAAAGGCUUACCAAGGCGACGAUCCGUAGCUGGUCUGAGAGGACGACCAGCCACACUGGGACUGAGACACGGCCCAGACUCCUACGGGAGGCAGCAGUGGGGAAUUUUGGACAAUGGGGGCAACCCUGAUCCAGCCAUGCCGCGUGCGGGAAGAAGGCCUUCGGGUUGUAAACCGCUUUUGUUCGGGAAGAAAUCCUCUGGGCUAAUACCCCGGGGGGAUGACGGUACCGGAAGAAUAAGCACCGGCUAACUACGUG
rnacentral:rRNA from 1 species